UACGUAGGGUGCGAGCGUUAAUCGGAAUUACUGGGCGUAAAGCGUGCGCAGGCGGUUAGUUAAGUCUGAUGUGAAAGCCCCGGGCUCAACUUGGGAAUGGCAUUGGAAACUGGCUGGCUAGAGUGCGGCAGAGGGGGGUGGAAUUCCGCGUGUAGCAGUGAAAUGCGUAGAUAUCGAGAGGAACACCUGCGGCGAAGGCGGGUUGCUGGGCCGACACUGACGCUGAUGCGCGAAAGCCAGGGGAGCGAACGGG
rnacentral:rRNA from 1 species